GAUGGGUGUGUCAGGCAGGAGGUGAUAUUUGAAGGGCUGCGGGCACGGGCCGCGGAGCCAGGGCGCCAGGCAGUGGGGGAGAGCAUGGCUUCCCGGGACCCGCCCCCCACCAGCUAUGCCCCGCCCGAAGUGCCCUCGGGGGUCUCGCUCUUCCUCACCAUCCCGUAUGCCUUCUUCUUGCCUGAGCUGAUAUUUGGGUGCUGGGUCUGGAUCCUGGUAGCAGCCACCCAGGUAGCAAACCCACUGCUGCAAGGAUGGGUGAUGUAUGUCUCACUCACUUCAUUCCUCAUCUCCCUGAUGUUCCUGUUGUCUUACGUGUUUGGAUUUUACAAAAGACUCGAGUCCUGGAAAAUCCUGGACAGCCUGUACCACGGGACCACUGGCAUCCUGUACAUGAGCGCCGCCGUCUUGCAAGUGCACGCCACGAUCGUGUCUGAGAUCGAGGACCUGAAAAAUUACUACAUAAACACGGCAGCCUCGGACAGAUGACUCUGAGCCCUCAGGCUGAAGGAGCCUUGCAGGAUGGGAGGAGGUGUGUGUGUGUAAUCAGGUGUGCCCAAGCUCACAGGGCACCAAGCCCAAGUUCAGGUGUCAUCUCUCCUCUCUGUUGUUUUUUGUUUGUUUCUUUCUUCUUUUUCUUUUUUUUGCUCUGUCUUACAUCCAUUACACUGCCCUCAGAAUAUGUUUUUCCAAAAUACACAUCGCUUAUGGAAAGUCCUUGGCGAUUCCCAUUACUGAUGGAAUGGAGCCUGAAUGCCUCAGCACGACCAAAGUUCCCAUGUCCUUUUAGUUCAGGGACAGACAUCCACAGGGUAACAUAUUGGCUCAUGGCAUCUGAGUGAAGGUAGUCCAGGCGAGUGAGCAGGACCCCCGGAACUUAGGUUUAAUGGAACCAGAGACUGCAGGCCAGCAGGGCCCCGCCUUUCCAGUCCCCAGGCGGUGGCCUCCUUCCUCUCUUGGUGGGAUGGCGCCCUCGCGUGGCGGGUGGCUCACAGCCGACGGAUUCCUCCUCUGGAGCCGCCUAACCUUUCUUAAUCCUUCCCAGGAGGCUCUAAUUCCCAGGCUGGGCCCCAGUCCACCCUCACCGGUCGCUAUGACCAGCGAGGUCCCGUGUUAGUCGGGGGCUCCCUCAGGGGUCAGGUAGCAGGAGGAAGAGGUGCGGUGUGGGGUGCUGAGCCCACUGUAAGAAAGAUGUCAGGCAAGCGUGGUGACCCGCUUGGGUGGCCUCAGGGCUCUUCAGCUGCCUUUCUGGCCUGCCUGCCUCCUCCCGCUCCUGGCCCAGCACCACUCUGCCCCCCACUGCUCUGCGGGUGCUCUCGCCCUUGCUCAGCGGCUCCAGCCACACCAGCUUCCUUGCUGCCCCGGACCUGCGGUCCCCGUGGCCUUGGCUCCAGGACGAGCACGGCAGCUCCCUCGCCACCUUCUGCUCUUUUCCUCACGUGUCCGCUUGUGGGUGAGGCCGUGCCCCUCCCUUCUUUGUUUCUUGCUGCGCACUUAGCCCCACCUUACCUACUACUCUAUCGGUUUUUCUUACUUAUUUUCUGCUUCUGCCACUAAAAUGUAGGCUCCAUGAGGAUAGGGAUUUUUGAAUUUUUUCCCAUUAUUGUAGCCACAGUUGUUUUUGAAGCAUAGUAGGUGCUUACAAGAUAUUUGUUGAAUGAAUGAAUGAAUGAAUGAAUGAAACAGAGUGUGAUUGAGCAGGGGGGUGAAGUGAGGCUGGAGUCAUCCGCUGGGCCAAGAGAUCAUCAGGCAAUACGGGCAGUUCUUUGCCUUCAUCACCACCCUGCUCUACAUCCUCCAUGCCUUCAGCAUCUAUUACCACUGAAGAAGCAGGGAGCUGGACCAGCAUGGGAAAUGCUCUUUUAAAACCUGGAGUAUCAGCUCCCAAAAGUGGUUUUCAACAUUCGCCAUCUGGAUGAUAAACAGAAGCUCAACAAUGACAUCAUGGGACCAACAGACCAUCUUUUGAGACUGAGUGAUGAAAUCACACCCUGGCAGAUCCAUUUGGACAUUUUAAGUCAUUGCAAUGAAUAUGAAAGAGCUGGGGGGAGGGAUGUUUUAUUUUGUUUUGUUUUGUUUUGUUUUGUUUUGUUUUGUUUUGUUUUGUUUUGCCUAGGAAAGUGUCUCUUGGAAUUAUCUGACAAUGAACAUCUCUCUUCUAGAAAACUAACAUCUGAAGCCCUCACUGCUGAAAAUUCCAGAUUUACCAUCCUCACGCCUGUUUGGGGAUUCUGCCUCAGCAACGAGCUUCCCCACAGCAGGUUUUUGGGAACCUUCAUCAUUUUCUUAAAAUCAAAUGGUGCUGAAGACCCACAGACCUUGUUCCUGUCCCGUGGUCCUGCCUCUGCUUCGCAGCAGUGGACCAAACCCACCGCCCCCUUCCAUGCUGCCUGACCCCCCCAUUCACGUCCCCUCCCCUUCCCUCCCCAGCUUUGGGAGCCAAGGGAAACCUGCAUAAAAUCAGCUUUGAGGGUAGAUUUGUGGGGAAAAUAAGCGAUUGACUCUGCAAAAUUGUUAUACAGUAAGACCUAGGGGAAGGAAGGGUGUAACCCGCUUCUCUAUAAGUCAGGCUGCUCAGAGAACUGCAGGGCUGCAGGACGCCUGGGUCAGGAGGAAGAACUGGGAGUCUCUUUGUCUCUCAGAAAAGACCACCAAGGAAGCAUGCAGGAUGUUACAUGCCAGGAUUCUCUUCUGGGCUCCUGUCACAUGUGGGACAUGGAAGAGGCCGGAAAGGACCCCAUCCCAGGGUCCCUGCUGUUCGGUGUGCAUCCCCCAGUGGUCCAGCUGGGUAGGGCCUGGGACCACCCAGCCAGCCUCCUGCAGUGACAGGCUCCCAGGGGCCAGGACAUGCAAAGGCAUUUGCACUUCGCGGCCAUUCUCAAAGAAAAGGCACAGAGAAAUGUAAAACCAAGAUGCUGGAUUUCCAAGUAAAUGUUUUUCAAAAGAA